rnacentral:lncRNA from 1 species
UCAAACGCCUGUAAAAUGGGUAUACAGAUAAAAGGACAAUACUUGAACGAUCUAACCUCCCUAGUGAGGAUGCAGGUUCGAUUAACCUUGAUGAGGGGAAGUGUAUACUGAUUUCAUCUAGUUUCCGCGCGCACAGGGGCACAGUCUGAUGACACUUGAGGAGUCAACAGAACAUAGAGGAUGAAUUCACAUUAACAAAAGUUACAAAACCGCAAAGUUCAUCCUAAUUUCUUCAUACAAUCAAGGAAGAACUUGAAUUCCAACGUCAUGAAUUCCGCAGGCUUUUGGGUGAAAAUAAGAGGUAAGCUGAAGACCGAGUUGCUCGACAACGAGAUUUGGGUGACGCCAAAAAGGAACGUAGGCGAAUGAAUAUUGCAAUUGCUGACAUUCAAGAACAAAAUGAAAUGCACUCAAGGAAGCUUAUUGAAAACCGUCUGAAACUAGAAGCUUAUCCUAUUUUCUUGUCGCGAGUUUAUGUUCAUCUCCUAUGCAUAUCUGACUAUCUCAUAUUAGUGGCUCAUAUGGGAUGAAACCAGGGGUGCUGCUAACAAGGGUAUAUGGUUCAAGUUUAUAACGGAGAAACUAUUAACCAGUUUAUAUGGGAAACUUUUGAAGACGAAAAUCAGCGGUGAUCGUCACAUUGUUAAGGCUUGUUCAUAAAGAGUACGCCAUCUCAUGUUGAUCUGUCUGCAGCAGUUCAGACAAUCGUUUUGCAGUCCCGUAUAUCUUAUUUUGGUGCGAUCUUCAGCGUAUAUCUUUAUCUGAUAAUGCUGUAUAGUUGACAUCCUUGCCACCAUCGGAUAAGAGGUGUGCUGGUGGCUAGCUUGAAUAAAGGCUGACAUGGCGUUUGAUGUGGGCUGAGUUCUGGUGAGGAUUGAACGACCACCCUGCAAUAUAAAUCAAAUGUUUGGCACCUUCAAUGGCUACGAAAACAUCCUCCCAAAGGUUUCUUGGUGACCCACAAACAUCCAACGGCGGUUGAAACAUAGGACAGUGAUGAGAAUCUUGAUACAGUGUAACACUGCAGUUAGUCCUUUGUGGAAAUGUAGCAUCUCUCAGCCCAUUGAAUCUGCUGUUGUCGAUUAUUUUUCGCCAACUUGGUUCAAGUUGUGCGGGUUUGAACCAUAACAUGAAUCUAAUUUUCAGUUGUGGAUGUGGCUUCCCGUUUUCCAUGCACACUGGAAACAAACCGUCAAUCAGGUUUGACUUUUCUAACAACUGAUGAGCUUGAAUGUUGACUUUCCCGAGGAUUGAACAUUUUGUCUUGAGGGUGAUCGUUAAUGUUGCGUUUAUAGGAUGAGCACAAAGAACGCGUAAUGUUUGGUUCCAAACGCGCUCACUUUCAUGACUAGUUGAUGCUAUCUUUUUGUUAUCGAUUUUGAUGCUAACGUAUGCAGGUGCUCCCGUUGGAUUUAUGCACUGUAAAAGCCAAAGUCACCGUCAUUAAGCCAAAUAUGAUUACUAAAUUAUGUUAUUCCGCUAAUAAUCUAAAAUUUUAAAUAAAUUGAUUUAGGAGGUUUUAUGAACUACAAAUAUGCUUUGCGCGGUUUUUAAUUUGUUUCGCCUUUUUGACCCAUUAGGCCAAUUUUAUUAGAACUAAUAUUUGGUGAUCAAACAAAAUCCGAAUUUUCUUAUGCAAAAGUAUAUGAGUCGUAAUGACAAAAACCGCAAUAAAACUAUAACCAAACAUGAGUACGAGCUAAAUUUGCAAAACGAUACGUACAUUGAGUAGAAACGGCGGUGAAUAAG